rnacentral:lncRNA from 1 species
CUAUACUAGGUGGCUUAUUGGCGAUGGACUGAUGAUGGAUGUUUCAUCCGAUGUUUGGUUAUUCACCAUCUUGCUCGAUUCAUGAUCAACCUUAGUUAGUGUGGAGGAGGUGGAGGUUGAUCUGGUGUGUGACUUGUUCUAUCCUGGAAAGGGAGAUGGAAUACUGUAUUAGUGAGCCAUUAGUUUGAUGAUUAGCUGGU